rnacentral:rRNA from 2 species
GCCUGCCCAGUGACUACAAGUUCAACGGCCGCGGUAUUUUGACCGUGCAAAGGUAGCGCAAUCACUUGUCUUUUAAAUAGAGACCUGUAUGAAUGGCUAAACGAGGGCUUAACUGUCUCCCCUUUCCAGUCAGUGAAAUUGAUCUACCCGUGCAGAAGCGGGUAUAAUAAUACAAGACGAGAAGACCCUUUGGAGCUUAAGGUACAAAACUCAACCACGUUAAGCAACUCAAUAAAAAGUGAAAACUUUGUGGAACAUGAGAUUUUACCUUCGGUUGGGGCGACCACGGAGGAAAAAAGAGCCUCCAGGUGGAACGGGAGAAUUUCCUAAAACUAAGAGAGACAUCUCUAAGCCACAGAACAUCUGACCAAAUAUGAUCCGGCUAAUACAAGCCGAUCAACGAACCAAGUUACCCUAGGGAUAACAGCGCAAUCCUCUCCCAGAGUCCAUAUCGACGAGGGGGUUUACGACCUCGAUGUUGGAUCAGGACAUCCUAAUGGUGCAGCCGCUAU